rnacentral:rRNA from 1 species
ACGAACGCUGGCGGCGUGCUUAACACAUGCAAGUCGAGCGGAAAGGCCCUUCGGGGUACUCGAGCGGCGAACGGGUGAGUAACACGUGGGCAACCUGCCCUCAGCUCUGGGAUAACUCCGGGAAACCGGGGCUAAUACCGGAUACGACCUUCCCUCGCAUGGGGGUUGGUGGAAAGUUCUUCGGCUGAGGAUGGGCCCGCGGCCUAUCAGCUUGUUGGUGGGGUGAUGGCCUACCAAGGCGACGACGGGUAGCCGGCCUGAGAGGGCGACCGGCCACACUGGGACUGAGACACGGCCCAGACUCCUACGGGAGGCAGCAGUGGGGAAUAUUGCGCAAUGGGCGGAAGCCUGACGCAGCGACGCCGCGUGAGGGAUGAAGGCCUUCGGGUUGUAAACCUCUUUCAGCAGGGACGAAGCGAGAGUGACGGUACCUGCAGAAGAAGCACCGGCCAACUACGU